rnacentral:lncRNA from 1 species
AGUAGUCAAGCAUUAAAAUCACAUUUUUCUUAUUUAAGACAUCAUUUAACUAUUUAUUUCCUUUUAUUCAUAACUUCAUCAUUUUAAGGAAAAAUACCAAAUUGAUUCAAAAAAUUCUUCUUUUUUAGGUUUAGACAGUAUAUGACCCAACAAUGAUUCCCAAAUUUUUCUGGAAUUUUAGAAAGUGAUUUACUAAUUUUAAAGUGCCCAAAACACUCGGAUCUUGCUUCAUUUUUCAUAUAUCGAGUUUUUCUCAGAAAAUUCUGAACUUUUCA